rnacentral:rRNA from 1 species
UACGAAGGGGGCUAGCGUUGCUCGGAAUCACUGGGCGUAAAGCGCACGUAGGCGGAUUGCUAAGUCAGGGGUGAAAUCCUGGAGCUCAACUCCGAAACUGCAUUCGAUACUGCCGUGCUUGAGGACUGGAGAGGAGACUGGAAUUUACGGUGUAGCGGUGAAAUGCGUAGAUAUCGUAAGGAAGACCAGUGGCGAAGGCGGGUCUCUGGGCGAUACUGACGCUGAGGAGCGAAAGCGUGGGGAGCGAACAGG